CAUUUCAUCCCCUCUGCAGAGUUAUGACUGAGUGAACUUGAUCUCAGAUUCUGUUCCCAACUCUGAGUGUUGCAGAAUUAGUUCCAGUUGCCUGCCUUCCCUUUGAUAUUCACUUGACUCAGAGAAGAGGCCAGAUCUACUUUUUCACUCAUCUGGGGGGAUUAAAAAACCACUACUCUAUUCCAGAAGAUUCCUGACGCUUUUCCUUGGAUUAUUUGCAUUUCUGUCAACGGCCCUGUAAUAUCUUGGGGUAGCACUGCAGUUCUCCUGAGGAGUGAAUGUCCAUCAGCAGCAGAAAGUGCACUUGCUCCCUGAAAGGGCACCGGGAUCCUUGGAACAGGCUCCAUGUUAGCGCUGGCAAAAGGAUGAAUGCAGCAUUCCGUGAGGAAUAUUUUUCUGGAGAGUGGACUAAAUGAUGAAUGGUGGUCUGGGCAAGCUUCGGACUAAUUGGAGCAAGGAGAAUGG
rnacentral:lncRNA from 1 species